AGCGAACGCUGGCGGCAGGCCUAACACAUGCAAGUCGAACGAAGUCUUCGGACUUAGUGGCGGACGGGUGAGUAACACGUGGGAACGUGCCUUUAGGUUCGGAAUAACUCAGGGAAACUUGUGCUAAUACCGAAUGUGCCCUUCGGGGGAAAGUUUUAUCGCCUUUAGAGCGGCCCGCGUCUGAUUAGCUUGUUGGUGAGGUAAAGGCUCACCAAGGCGACGAUCAGUAGCUGGUCUGAGAGGAUGAUCAGCCACAUUGGGACUGAGACACGGCCCAAACUCCUACGGGAGGCAGCAGUGGGGAAUCUUGCGCAAUGGGCGAAAGCCUGACGCAGCCAUGCCGCGUGAAUGAUGAAGGUCUUAGGAUUGUAAAAUUCUUUCACCGGGGACGAUAAUGACGGUACCCGGAGAAGAAGCCCCGGCUAACUUCGUGCCAGCCGCCGCGGUAAUAC
rnacentral:rRNA from 1 species